rnacentral:rRNA from 1 species
UACGUAGGAUGCAAGCGUUGUCCGGAAUUAUUGGGCGUAAAGAGCGAGCAGGCGGUUCGUCAAGUCAGAUGUGAAAUAUCCCGGCUUAACCGGGAGGGGCCAUUUGAAACUGACGGACUAGAGUGGAGCAGAGGACAGUGGAAUUCCCGGUGUAGUGGUGAAAUGCGUAGAUAUCGGGAGGAACACCAGUGGCGAAGGCGACUGUCUGGGCUUUAACUGACGCUGAGGCGCGAAGGCCGGGGGAGCAAACAGG